rnacentral:rRNA from 1 species
GACGAACGCUGGCGGCGUGCCUAAUACAUGCAAGUUGAGCGAUGAAGAUUGGUGCUUGCACCAAUUUGAAGAGCAGCGAACGGGUGAGUAACGCGUGGGGAAUCUGCCUUUGAGCGGGGGACAACAUUUGGAAACGAAUGCUAAUACCGCAUAACAACUUUAAACAUAAGUUUUAAGUUUGAAAGAUGCAAUUGCCUCACUCAAAGAUGAUCCCGCGUUGUAUUAGCUAGUUGGUGAGGUAAAGGCUCACCAAGGCGAUGAUACAUAGCCGACCUGAGAGGGUGAUCGGCCACAUUGGGACUGAGACACGGCCCAAACUCCUACGGGAGGCAGCAGUAGGGAAUCUUCGGCAAUGGACGAAAGUCUGGCCGAGCAACGCCGCGUGAGUGAAGAAGGUUUUCGGAUCGUAAAACUCUGUUGGUAGAGAAGAACGUUGGUGAGAGUGGAAAGCUCAUCAAGUGACGGUAACUACCCAGAAAGGGACGGCUAACUACGUG